rnacentral:rRNA from 1 species
AGAAUCAACGCUGGCGGCGUGCCUAACACAUGCAAGUCGCACGAGAAAGGGGAGCAAUCCCUGAGUAAAGUGGCGCACGGGUGAGUAACACGUGACUUAUCUACCUCCGAGUGGGGAAUAACCUAGAGAAAUCUGGGCUAAUACCGCAUAACACUUACGAGUCAAAGCAGCAAUGCGCUUGGAGAGGAGGUCGCGGCCGAUUAGCUAGUUGGCGGGGUAAUGGCCCACCAAGGCGAUGAUCGGUAUCCGGCCUGAGAGGGCGCACGGACACACUGGAACUGAAACACGGUCCAGACUCCUACGGGAGGCAGCAGUGGGGAAUUUUGCGCAAUGGGGGAAACCCUGACGCAGCAACGCCGCGUGGAGGAUGAAAUAUCUUGGUAUGUAAACUCCUUUCGAUGGGGAAGAUUAUGACGGUACCCAUAGAAGAAGCCCCGGCUAACUUCGUGCCAGCAGCCGC